CUCUGUCAAGUGUCAACUAUCAAACAUGUUGAUAAAUUAUAAAUCAUAACAAAUCACAGAUGCUAGAAAAGGUAUUUUCUAUUUUUCUAUUAAUUUUAUGUUAGUAUUAAAACUUUUGUUUUGAUUACUGAUUACAAUCUUGUUUCAAUCUUGUUUCUAGCUAGUAGCAAAAUAUACAGAAUACCAUAAUCGUGGCCUGAUUUCAAGCAACUGUCGUAAAGCAAACACAGCAGUACAUUGCAGCAACAGGAGGGCAAGCAGCCAUAAGCUCCAUACAAAGCUCCAUAUUUUAACUCAUCCAGACAUCAAGGUAUGCUAGGCACGCAUGAUAGCCUAUGUUGGGUUGUACGAGAUUGGAGGUGCUAAGAAAGGAGAUCGUGUCUUUGUCUCUGUUGCGUUUGGUGGUGUUGG